UGACCCGGUUCAGUAACCUGAUGGAAUUGUAAUCAAGCUAAGGAUAUAAUUAAAUGGGUUUUGCUCCUGAUUAGAUUGAAAGUUAUAAUUAAUUAUUUUUGUAUGGGGAAAAGGUUUGAGUAACCCUUUUUAUUAAGUCACAGUCUUGUUUAUUUUAUCUCGUCGAGUUAAGUUUGAAGCAGUUUAGCGAGAAUUAAAUUUAAAUGAUAUUGGACUCGAGGACAAGUCAACAUCAUGAACCAUCUCAAAUCCAAAGCUAAUUCCCCUAUCCUUCCUAGAUCAGCAGCCAUCCAACGGACUUUCCAUUCUUUCCUUCACAGCACUGAAAUAGG
rnacentral:lncRNA from 1 species